rnacentral:siRNA from 1 species
CGUCGGCCUGUGGGCUCCC